GACAGAGGGUGCAAACGUUGUUCGGAAUUACUGGGCGUAAAGCGUGUGUAGGUGGCUGCGAAAGUCGGAUGUGAAAGCCCUGGGCUCAACUCAGGAAGUGCAUCCGAAACUGGCAAGCUAGAGUAUGUAAGAGGGUCGCGGAAUUCCCGGUGUAGAGGUGAAAUUCGUAGAUAUCGGGAGGAACACCGGUGGCGAAGGCGGCGACCUGGGACAAUACUGACGCUGAGGUGCGAAAGCGUGGGGAGCAAACAGG
rnacentral:rRNA from 1 species